AUUGAACGCUGGCGGCAUGCUUUACACAUGCAAGUCGAGCGGCAGCGCGGCCUUCGGGCUGGCGGCGAGCGGCGAACGGGUGAGUAAUGCAUCGGAACAUGCCCAGUCGUGGGGGAUAACACUUCGAAAGAAGUGCUAAUACCGCAUACGUCCUGAGGGGGAAAGCGGGGGAUCGCAAGACCUCGCGCGAUUGGAGUGUCCGAUGUCAGAUUAGCUAGUUGGUGGGGUAAAGGCCUACCAAGGCGACGAUCUGUAGCUGGUCUGAGAGGAUGAUCAGCCACACUGGGACUGAGACACGGCCCAGACUCCUACGGGAGGCAGCAGUGGGGAAUUUUGGACAAUGGGGGCAACCCUGAUCCAGCCAUGCCGCGUGAGUGAAGAAGGCCUUCGGGUUGUAAAGCUCUUUCGGCAGGAACGAAACGGUGGGCUCUAACAUAGUCCGCUAAUGACGGUACCUGAAGAAGAAGCACCGGCUAACUACGUG
rnacentral:rRNA from 1 species